rnacentral:rRNA from 1 species
AGUUUGAUCCUGGCUCAGAUUGAACGCUGGCGGCAGGCUUAACACAUGCAAGUCGAGCGGAAACGAAGGUAGCUUGCUACCAGACGUCGAGCGGCGGACGGGUGAGUAAUGCUUAGGAAUCUACCGAGUAGUGGGGGAUAGCCAUUGGAAACGAUGAUUAAUACCGCAUAUAUCCUACGGGGGAAAGCAGGGGACCUUCGGGCCUUGCGCUAUUCGAUGAGCCUGAGUGAGAUUAGCUAGUUGGUGGGGUAAAGGCCUACCAAAGCGACGAUCUCUAGCUGGUCUGAGAGGAUGAUCAGCCACACUGGGACUGAGACACGGCCCAGACUCCUACGGGAGGCAGCAGUGGGGAAUAUUGCACAAUGGACGAAAGUCUGAUGCAGCCAUGCCGCGUGUGUGAAGAAGGCCUUCGGGUUGUAAAGCACUUUCAGCGAGGAGGAAAGGUCAGUAAGUAAUAUUUGCUGGCUGUGACGUUACUCGCAGAAGAAGCACCGGCUAAUUUAGUGCCAGCAGCCGCGGUAAUACUAAAGGUGCAAGCGUUAAUCGGAAUUACUGGGCGUAAAGCGCGCGUAGGUGGUUUGUUAAGUUGGAUGUGAAAGCCCAGGGCUCAACCUUGGAACUGCAUUCGAAACUGACUCACUAGAGUACGAGAGAGGUUAGUGGAAUUUCCUGUGUAGCGGUGAAAUGCGUAGAGAUGGGAAGGAACACCAGUGGCGAAGCGACUGACUGGCUCGAUACUGACACUGAGUGCGAA